rfam:Delta proteobacterium MLS_D scaffold_61, whole genome shotgun sequence.
CAGCAGGUUGGAAGGUACCUGCCAAAACAAUUGUCAGUUCGUUUUGAAGCCUGAUCGGCAGCGGAAUAUGGCUGAAGCCCGAUGAGAAAGACUCUCAAAAGGGAGCCGAGGCAGAGUGCAGGCCGCAGCAUUU